rnacentral:rRNA from 1 species
AUUGAACGCUGGCGGCAUGCCUUACACAUGCAAGUCGAACGGCAGCACGGGUGCUUGCACCUGGUGGCGAGUGGCGAACGGGUGAGUAAUACAUCGGAACAUGUCCUGUAGUGGGGGAUAGCCCGGCGAAAGCCGGAUUAAUACCGCAUACGAACUACGUAUGAAAGCGGGGGACCUUCGGGCCUCGCGCUAUAGGGUUGGCCGAUAGCUGAUUAGCUAGUUGGUGGGGUAAAGGCCUACCAAGGCGACGAUCAGUAGCUGGUCUGAGAGGACGACCGGCCACACUGGAACUGAGACACGGCCCAGACUCCUACGGGAGGCAGCAGUGGGGAAUUUUGGACAAUGGGCGAAAGCCUGAUCCAGCAAUGCCGCGUGUGUGAAGAAGGCCUUCGGGUUGUAAAGCACUUUUGUCCGGAAAGAAAUCCUUGGCUCUAAUACAGUCGGGGGAUGACGGUACCGGAAGAAUAAGCACCGGCUAACUACGUG